rnacentral:rRNA from 1 species
GACGAACGCUGGCGGCGCGCUUAACACAUGCAAGUCGAACGGAAAGGCCUGCUUUCCCUUGUGGAUUGCGGGUACUCGAGUGGCGAACGGGUGAGUAACACGUGAGUGAUCUGCCCCCAACUUGGGUAUAAGCCUGGGAAACUGGGUCUAAUUCCCGAUAGGACUGCAGGGUGGUGCCUGUGGUGGAAAACGAUUUUCUAGUGGUUGGGGAUGAGCCCGCGGCCUAUCAGCUUGUUGGUGGGGUAAUGGCCUACCAAGGCGGCGACGGGUAGCCGGCCUGAGAGGGUGGACGGCCACAUUGGGACUGGGAUACGGCCCAGACUCCUACGGGAGGCAGCAGUGGGGAAUAUUGCACAAUGGGCGGAAGCCUGAUGCAGCGACGCCGCGUGGGGGAUGACGGCCUUCGGGUUGUAAACUCCUUUCGACCGCGAGGAAGCCACCUGGUUGGAAGGGUGGUGACGGUAGUGGUAGAAGAAGCACCGGCUAACUACGUG